GGGGUUGUGGCUCAGUGGCAGAGCGCUUGCCUAGCACAUAUGAGGCCCUGGGUUCAAUCCUCAGCACCA
rnacentral:tRNA from 1 species